UUAAGUGACGAUAGCCUAGGAGAUACACCUGUUCCCAUGCCGAACACAGAAGUUAAGCCCUAGCACGCCUGAUGUAGUUGGGGGUUGCCCCCUGUUAGAUAUGGUAGUCGCUUAGC
rfam:Streptococcus lutetiensis 033, complete genome.